UACGGGGGAUGCAAGCGUUAUCCGGAUUUAUUGGGCGUAAAGCGCCUGUAGGUUGUUUAAUAAGUCUGUUGUUAAAGACUAGGGCUUAACCCUAGGAAAGCAAUGGAAACUACUAGACUUGAGUAUGAUAGGGGUAGAGGGAAUUUCUAGUGUAGCGGUGAAAUGCGUAGAUAUUAGAAAGAACACCGGUGGCGAAGGCGCUCUACUGGAUCAUUACUGACACUCAGAGGCGAAAGCUAGGGUAGCAAAAGGGAUUAGAUACCCCUGUAGUCCUAGCCGUAAACGAUGGAUACUACAUGUUGCGUUUUUAAUGCAGUAUGGUAGCUAACGCGUUAAGUGCACCGCCUGGGGAGUACGGUCGCAAGAUUA
rnacentral:rRNA from 1 species